rnacentral:rRNA from 1 species
GACGAACGCUGGCGGCGUGCUUAACACAUGCAAGUCGAACGGAAAGGCCCUGCUUUUGUGGGGUGCUCGAGUGGCGAACGGGUGAGUAACACGUGAGUAACCUGCCCUUGACUUUGGGAUAACUUCAGGAAACUGGGGCUAAUACCGGAUAGGAGCUCCUGCUGCAUGGUGGGGGUUGGAAAGUUUCGGCGGUUGGGGAUGGACUCGCGGCUUAUCAGCUUGUUGGUGGGGUAGUGGCUUACCAAGGCUUUGACGGGUAGCCGGCCUGAGAGGGUGACCGGCCAGAUUGGGACUGAGAUACGGCCCAGACGGCUACGGGAGGCAGCAGUGGGGAAUAUUGCACAAUGGGCGGAAGCCUGAUGCAGCAACGCCGCGUGCGGGAUGACGGCCUUCGGGUUGUAAACCGCUUUCGCCUGUGACGAAGCGUGAGUGACGGUAAUGGGUAAAGAAGCACCGGCUAACUACGUG